rnacentral:lncRNA from 1 species
CUUUUUUCUCUACAUCUCUCUUUUUUUUCUUUUUUAAAAUAUUGAAUCAUCAUUGGAGACGACAUCAGGCCGACAGCGAUUGCAAUAUGAUACCAUAGAUCUGCUUGCAGCAGUUUUUAUGUCAUCAUCGUAUGGUGACGACGUACUGCAGAGAUAAGAUGCUGGCGAUGGUGAUGAAUCCGCUUAGGGUUUGGUGCUGGUGUUGAUGUUUCUUGUGGAGGUGGUUUUGGUGUUGUUGGCCGGGGAGUGGGGAUGGGGUUUAGAUGAUUUUCUUUGAUUUAUGGGUAUGGCCGUUGUGAGGGAAAUUUAUUUGCCAUAAAUUUAUAUUUCCGUCGCCACCAUGCCUAUCGUCGCACCACCAGUGACGAUGGAUGUCGCUACUAUGUGCGUGGGUGGGUGGUAGGGACUGGUUAGAUUGGUUGAUUUGGUUGUUUCGAUUGGCUGAUCGGGAUGGAUGGCGAGACAUGACGAAGACGGUAAUGUAUAAUUGGUCGACUCGACCGUUGAUUUUAGGUAGGAAGGUUGUUGAUUUUGGAUAGUAGUAAUGCAGCAUAUUAUUGUUCAUAAGUAGACGGGGUGGCAGUGGCAUUAGAUUUAGUGGUGGUGACUUUGUUGGCGGUGGGGUUGUGGUGGUGGCAACGAUGGCAUUGUAAGGAGGUCCCAAGUGGGUGUAGCGAUAGUGGUGGAAGUAUUGAUGGCGGUGGUAUGUGACCCACUAUUUAGUGUAUAUCACCAACUAUUUGAUUUACCUAUGAUCAACUGUUUAGCUGUAAUCUUAAAAUUCGAUAAUUUGUAAUUAAAAAAAAUUAUGACUGAUAAAUUUAAAAAUAUGUGACUGAG